GGGGACAUGGCGUAGUUGGGAACGCGUUCGACUGAAGUCCACUUCAAUCAUCACUUUGUGAAAUCGAGAGAUCGCCGGUUCGAUCCCGGCUGGCCCCA
rnacentral:tRNA from 1 species